AAAUAAAUGGCGGUUUAUUGUUUUGUUUAGGAAAAGCAGUUAACCGAAAGCUGUAUGUCUCAUCUGGUAAUGAUAAGUGCAGAUAAACAAGUGUAAUGCUCCCAAAGAAUGUUUGGGCCAAACAAUAUCUAAGAAACAAAAAGUUGAUAAAAAUGCAGAAAGAUAUGGCCAAUUCAUUGAAGGUGACGACAUGCAGGUGUGACUGUAUGCACGACUGUUACUGCUGCCUGGGUAUUAUGUGAGCAAGAAACACGUCUGGAUUAUAAUUUGGACACACAUGUAGUGAUGUACAGCUGUUUUGUGAAUAUGAUAAAUGAUGUAUGCUAUAUUUGCAUUUUUGAUGGGUUUUUAGAUGUUUAAUGUUCAAUACAUCAGACAAACUCUGAAGUUUUUUUUUAAUAGAAUAUUAAUUUAUAAAACAAAAUCCAAUGAACUACAACCAUAUGUUUAUAGCUUUACACUUCAAGAACAACUAUUUUUGUGUAUUAUGAUUAUAUAUUUGUUAAUGAGAUACAAUUUUGAGUUGAAAUAUUAUGAAUUUUGUUAUGCCGGCGUAAUAUUUGAUUUUGGUCUGUAAAUAAGAAAUUAUUGGAAAUGCAAGAGAUUCGCUUAUGAGUUGGAAUGUUUUAAAUUUUGUCACGCCGGCAUAACAUUUUAAAUUUUUGUCUGUAAAUAGGGAAUGUUUGGACAUUUAUCAGCCAUUCACUUUCUGUAGAAAUGUUAUGAAUCUUGUUACGCUUGUAUAGCAUUUAGGUUUGGGUCUGUGAAUAUGAAAUUAUUGGAAAUACAAGAGAUUAACUUAUGAGUUGAAAUGUUUGGAUUUUCGUUAAGCUGGCAUAUUAUUUUGAAUUUGGGUCUGUAAAAAGCAAUGAUAGGAAACUUGAGAGCAAUGCACUUUCUGUGGAAAUAUUACUUAUUUUGUUAUGCCGGCUUAACAUUUGAGAUUGGGUCUGUAAAUAAGUAAUUAUUGGAAAUGCAAGCAAUUUACUUUUAAUUUAAAAUGUUUGGAAUUUUGUUACGCUGGCAUAACAUGUUUUGGUCUAUAAAUAAGAAAUCAUUCGAAAUGCAAGUGAUUCACUUUGAGUUGAAAUGUUUGGAAUUUUGUUACACUGGCAUAAGAUUUACAGUUUUGGUCUGGAAAUAAGAAAUCAUUAGGAAUGCAAGCGAUUCACCUUUGAGUUAAAAUGUAAUGAAUUUUGUUAAGCUGACGUAACAUUUUUUUUUGUUAAAAAAAAAAUUAGCAUGUCGAAAUUAUCACAAAAAAUGGAUUUUUAAGUAGAAAAACCCUGUAAAACACCCCUUUUAAUUGGGAUUCAUGGACAUUCCAUUUUUAAAAUAGACAGAUUUUUGUGAGUUUGUACCGCCAGCGUAACAUUUAAAGUGGAAUGAUUUAUUUGGUGAUGUUAUAAUGAACCUUUGUGAGUUUGUACCGCCAGCGUAACAUUUUCAAAGAAUUAUCUGUCUAUGUGAUUAUGAACCUUGGGGAGUUUGUACUGCCGGCGUAACAUUUUUAUUUUUCUGUCAAAGUGAUUAUGAAUUUUGUGAGUUUGUACCGCCAGCGUAACAUUUAAAGUGGAAUGAUUUAUUUGGUGAUGUUAUAAUGAACCUUUGUGAGUUUGUACCGCCAGCGUAACAUUUUCAAAGAAUUAUCUGUCUAUGUGAUUAUGAACCUGGAGUUUGUACCGCCGGCGUAACAUUUUAGGUUUAUUUUUCUGUCAAAGUGAUCAUGAAUUUGUGUGUUUGUACUGCCAGCGUAACAUUUUAAGUGGAAUGAUUCAUUUGGUGAUGUUAUGAACCUUUGGAAGUUUCUACCGCCAGCGUAACUUUUUUUUAAGUGAAAUUAUUUAUUUGGUGAUGUUAUAAUUAACCUUUGGGUGUUUGUACCGCCAGCGUAACAUUUAAGUUGAAUUAUUUGUUGAUGUUAUACUGAACCUUGGGGAGUUUGGACUGCAAGCAAACGUUUUCAGUUAAAUUUUUCUGUUGAAGUGAUUAUAAAAUUGGAGAGUUUGUACCGCCAGCGUAACAUUUUAAGUUUAAUUUUUGAGUAGAAUGAAUUAUUUGUUGAUUUUAUAAAGGCAUUUGGAAGGUUGAACCGCCAGUGUAACAUUUUUAAGUUCAUUUAUCAUUUAUAUGAUGAUAUUAUAAUGAACCUUUGGGAGUUUGUACCGCCAGCGUAACAUUUUAGUUUAUAUUUUCUCUGGAAGUGAUUAUGAAAUUUUGAUAGGUUGUACUGCCAGCAUAAUAUUGAAUUAUGUUUUGAUGUGAUAAUAAACCUUUGGGAGUUUGUACCGCCA